UACGUAGGUGACCAGCGUUGUCCGGAUUUACUGGGCGUAAAGAGCGCGCAGGCGGUCGUUCAAGUCGAGUGUGAAAGCCCCCGGCUCAACUGGGGAGGGUCACUCGAUACUGAUCGACUUGAAGGCAGGAGAGGGAAGCGGAAUUCCCGGUGUAGUGGUGAAAUGCGUAGAUAUCGGGAGGAACACCAGUGGCGAAGGCGGCGAUCUGGGGCGAUACUGACGCUGAGGUGCGAAAGCGUGGGGAGCAAACAGG
rnacentral:rRNA from 1 species